CAGAAUUUUGAAAUGCCCUCUGUCCUUUCUCCUCUGACUAAGCACACAGCAGUCUCUUACUCUCUUUCUUCCAUUCUUAAUUCUUCCAUCCUCUUGAAACGCUCUCUCUCCCGAUCAAAAGACCUCCUACAGUCCUAUCGAUUCCGCUCUCUCCAAAUUCAUCUCCUCAGUGGAUCAGUCCUUCCUAGUUCCUCCUCAUUUCAUCGACUUUGAUUUUCGUGAUUUCUGACCCGAUCGAUUUCAUCAGUUUGUGCUUUUGUGAUAUGGUUGACCAAAGGUAGAUUUCGGAGCGAUUGACUGGAAUAUUUUGCUUUCUUUUUACCGUGCGUUGGUUCCAGUUCUUCAUUCUCUCUGUCAGAUCAUCUUUCAGGAAAGGACUUGGACUUCAAGGUUAGAGCAUGCCAUGCAUUUAUGGUUGGCAUAUGGAUGGCCAGCGGGGGCUAGAGGGAGGUUUCUUUUGCCCAGCACUGGAUCUAGACCAUUCAUUAGAUGUGCUGAAAAUAAAGUGACCGAUAAAAAUUAUCCAUUUUAAAUAUUAAGCCAGUUUUAAUGCUAAAUUUCUGUUCUAUUGUACAA